rnacentral:lncRNA from 1 species
AAUCUGAAAACGUAUUGAACAUUUCGCUGCCUGAGGUCAUCAGUCCUUCAUAAAGUCCUGGGACUCCGUGCCGGUGAGGUUCAGCUGAAUAAUUAAGUUAAAUUAAAGUUAAUUAAGUGUUUAGUAAAAACAAAAUGUGCUGAGUGAGUUCAGACGCUGCGGCUUACUUUCUGGACAAUUUAAAAUGACCUGCAGUGUUUGUCCACAUGGUGGCAGCAGAGAGGAGAAAGAAUCCUCAUGAUGUGUGAUGAUAAUGUGCGUUCAGGUGCAGUGUGUGCCGCUCACCGUAAAAGAUCCGGAGAGUCUCCAGACCGAGGAAGAGCAGCAGCAGCACCACAUCCAGAACCAGAUUAUCUGACGGGUAGGGCAGUAACAUCCCUGCACGCAAGACACAAGUUUAUGUUAAACUGUUCCAGAAACUGACGGAGACUGUGAUGAGAGGAAGAGGAAAUGUUUUGGGUGACGGGUGAAUGAGAUGAAGAAGCAGCCGAGUGUGCAGGACUUAAAUGCACAAUGGGAAAGAAAAUAAGAUAUUUCGUCUAAUUCAACUAAUAAUCUGAACACUAUUAAUCACAUAUAGAAUCUGAAGACGGAUUCAGCAGACCAGGGGUGUCCAAACCCCUGGUCUGCUGUAGGGGUGACCCUACAGCAGUAGGGGUCCUACUGCUGUUAAGUUGCAUAAAGUUGCAUGUGAAUAAAAAAGAAGCAAUACAUCUCUGGGGAAACACUGGAUGUUUGCAAAUGUUAGAAUUAAUGUUUUGAUAUGUUGUGAUUUGUCUUGAAGCAGAGAGACAGUUAUGAUAUGAUAUAUGUAUAUAUAAGAUGAAUCGAAGCCUCACCACAUGUCACAUGACCACCAUGAACGCAUACUUAAAGGUGGUCACUUGGAAUUACUUUUAUUGAACAAUAUGUGUGUUUCUUAUUUGGACUUCAUGAGAUCUUUGCAUUCAAUCUUCCCAGACAGAUGUAAUAUGUAAUAUACGUGUUGGCCCAGCAGGUCCCCACACCGACUCCACAAUGAACUCAGCAGAACGUUUUGUUUGCUUUUGACAGACGUGUGAAGGUGUUACAGCUGCUGACACACCUUUAUAGAUGAACAUCAGGAUCUCUGCCAGGUAGAAGGCAGCAAAGUACCAGAUGUUCAGGUAGAAGAGGACCUGCAGAGGAGUGGACGAAAGCUGAGGGAGACUGAGUCAAGGACAACAUACCACACAUACUCACGCACACACACACACGCACGCAGAGUGUGUGGGCAUCAUUUUCAUGUGAAGGAUACGAUUGGUUGGCUCCCUGCAGAGAAGACGAGGAGACAGAACAUGAGUAGCUUUUCUGAUGUUUUGUUUAUCAUAUUUACUAAACAAACGUUCCAUAUUACCAAUUCUCUUAUCUGCAAGUUUCAUUUAUAUGCAAAAGUAACAAACAUGACAAAUUAAUAAAAUGUGCAGGGCGAGUAAAAAUGACAAUCUGACAUGUUGGUGCAGUAGAAGUUCACAUUUGAGUACAAGUAGAGCUGCACAAUUAAUCGAAAUGUUCUGGAAAUAUAGACACAAAACUCAGAAGGGCAUUAUUAUAUAUAUAUAUAUAUAUGUUCUUUAUAUUUAUUCGUUAAGACCAUUCUGAACUGAGUACUGCAGGGAUACAACUCCUAUUCUGCAGACAACAAACAAUAUGUUCUCAUUCUGUUAUUUAUCUCCCCUUAAUAGAAUUAUAUUUUUAUGAAUGUUUAUUUAUUAGUAUAAAUAUUAUUUUGUCUAUUUGGUUUUCCCCUCUGAUGUGAAUAAUGAUUUUAAAAAGUACAUAGCUCUAUUAUACGUUAGCUUCGUUAGCUUCGUUAGUAUUUGUACAGCUGUUUGUAUCGUGUUACAGUUCCAUGUGCCGAACAAGAACAAGAACAAGAACAAGAACAUGAACAUGAACAUGAACAAGAACAAGACAAGAACCGACAAACAAGAACAUGAACAAGAACAGAACAAGAACAGGAACAUGAAUCCGACGUCUAACGGGUUUAACUCACGUUUGACUGUAAAGAUAAAAUAAAUACAUGAAACUUAGCAAAGUUACUGAAGUCUACUAAAGCUACUGAAUUAUAAGCUAACAUCGGCUAACGACCUCACACACGGGCUUUCUCUUUCCCGCUGUUUCUGUCAGUUAUUUAUAAUAAUACUGUAUUAAUACUUUCAUAUAAAACAGUAUUAUAGUUAUGUCUCAAUGUUUUAUUCGUGCACAAAGAGUGUGGGACUUACCCGGCGCCAUGUCUGAUUGCCAUGGAAACAGCUUGGGAGGAAGUGCCCCUUCUUUGGUGUGUGGUUCAACCCGGAGCGGGUUUUAAUGUACUGCCCCCUACAGGCUGCGUGUGGUACUACUACUGUUUUCUUUAUAUCACAUCCAUGAGGUAAUUUAAUAUAUACACACAAAACUGUUCACACCAGGGGUACAUAGACAACGUUUAAAAAAAAAUACAAGAGAAGAACAAAGUAAUACUAACAAGGUCAUACAAAUUCAAAUACUAUUAUGAAAUAAAUAACAAAUAAUUUGUUUUUAUUGCCUUCUCAUACCUAAAGUUUUCUUCUCACGGUGCCAUAUUGAUGCAGUUAUUAAGAAAGGUCCAAAACUUGGUUUAGAGUCAGUCCAUCUCUUCUUGGACUCUCUUCAAAAACAAAAUAUAUUUAUUUUCUAUGUCAUCACCUUCAAAACGUAUUAAAUGUUUUUUGAUUGAUUUGGUUAUUUAAGCGUGAUGAACCAAUUAGUGCCCAGUCCAUAUGGGCUUACAAUACAUUGAGGUCUAAAGCAGCCAUUAUAAUAAAUAAAGAAAUCAAAUAUAUGUAUUAUUAUUUAAUUGGGG